AAUGAACGUUGGCGGCAUGGAUUAGGCAUGCAAGUCGUGCGAGAAGUGUAGCAAUACACGGAAAGCGGCGAAAGGGAGAGUAAUACGUGGGAAUCUGCCCCCGGACCUGGGAUAGCGGCGGGAAACUGCCGGUAAUACCAGAUAAUGUCUGCGGACCAAAGGUGUGAUUCCGUCAGGGGAUGAGCCCACGUCCUAUUAGCUAGUUGGUAGGGUAAUGGCCUACCAAGGCGAUGAUGGGUAGCGGGUGUGAGAGCACGACCCGCCUCACUGGGACUGAGACACUGCCCAGACACCUACGGGUGGCUGCAGUCGAGAAUCUUCGGCAAUGAGCGCAAGCUUGACCGAGCAAUGCCGCGUGCGGGAUGAAGGCCUUCGGGUUGUAAACCGCUGUCGAGGGGGAGCAAAUUCCAUAGGGUUCUCUCUAUGGAUUGAGCGAUCCCUGGAGGAAGGACGGGCUAAGUUCGUGCCAGCCGCCGCGGUAAAAC
rnacentral:rRNA from 1 species